AAAAUAAGGACAACAGGUGAACCCAG
rnacentral:piRNA from 1 species